rnacentral:rRNA from 1 species
UUAAGUUAUUAAGGGCGCACGGUGGAUGCCUUGGCACUAGAAGCCGAUGAAGGACGUUACUAACGACGAUAUGCUUUGGGGAGCUGUAAGUAAGCUUUGAUCCAGAGAUUUCCGAAUGGGGAAACCCAGCAUGAGUUAUGUCAUGUUAUCGAUAUGUGAAUACAUAGCAUAUCAGAAGGCACACCCGGAGAACUGAAACAUCUUAGUACCCGGAGGAAGAGAAAGAAAAUUCGAUUCCCUUAGUAGCGGCGAGCGAAACGGGAAGAGCCCAAACCAACAAGCUUGCUUGUUGGGGUUGUAGGACACUCUAUACGGAGUUACAAAGGACGACAUUAGACGAAUCAUCUGGAAAGAUGAAUCAAAGAAGGUAAUAAUCCUGUAGUCGAAAAUGUUGUCUCUCUUGAGUGGAUCCUGAGUACGACGGAGCACGUGAAAUUCCGUCGGAAUCUGGGAGGACCAUCUCCUAAGGCUAAAUACUCUCUAGUGACCGAUAGUGAACCAGUACCGUGAGGGAAAGGUGAAAAGCACCCCGGAAGGGGAGUGAAAUAGAACCUGAAACCGUGUGCUUACAAGUAGUCAGAGCCCGUUAAUGGGUGAUGGCGUGCCUUUUGUAGAAUGAACCGGCGAGUUACGAUUUGAUGCAAGGUUAAGCAGUAAAUGUGUAGCCGUAGCGAAAGCGAGUCUGAAUAGGGCGUUUAGUAUUUGGUCGUAGACCCGAAACCAGGUGAUCUACCCUUGGUCAGGUUGAAGUUCAGGUAACACUGAAUGGAGGACCGAACCGACUUACGUUGAAAAGUGAGCGGAUGAACUGAGGGUAGCGGAGAAAUUCCAAUCGAACCUGGAGAUAGCUGGUUCUCUCCGAAAUAGCUUUAGGGCUAGCCUCAAGUGAUGAUUAUUGGAGGUAGAGCACUGUUUGGACGAGGGGCCCCUCUCGGGUUACCGAAUUCAGACAAACUCCGAAUGCCAAUUAAUUUAACUUGGGAGUCAGAACAUGGGUGAUAAGGUCCGUGUUCGAAAGGGAAACAGCCCAGACCACCAGCUAAGGUCCCAAAAUAUAUGUUAAGUGGAAAAGGAUGUGGCGUUGCCCAGACAACUAGGAUGUUGGCUUAGAAGCAGCCAUCAUUUAAAGAGUGCGUAAUAGCUCACUAGUCGAGUGACACUGCGCCGAAAAUGUACCGGGGCUAAACAUAUUACCGAAGCUGUGGAUUGUCCUUUGGACAAUGGUAGGAGAGCGUUCUAAGGGCGUUGAAGCAUGAUCGUAAGGACAUGUGGAGCGCUUAGAAGUGAGAAUGCCGGUGUGAGUAGCGAAAGACGGGUGAGAAUCCCGUCCACCGAUUGACUAAGGUUUCCAGAGGAAGGCUCGUCCGCUCUGGGUUAGUCGGGUCCUAAGCUGAGGCCGACAGGCGUAGGCGAUGGAUAACAGGUUGAUAUUCCUGUACCACCUAUAAUCGUUUUAAUCGAUGGGGGGACGCAGUAGGAUAGGCGAAGCGUGCGAUUGGAUUGCACGUCUAAGCAGUAAGGCUGAGUAUUAGGCAAAUCCGGUACUCGUUAAGGCUGAGCUGUGAUGGGGAGAAGACAUUGUGUCUUCGAGUCGUUGAUUUCACACUGCCGAGAAAAGCCUCUAGAUAGAAAAUAGGUGCCCGUACCGCAAACCGACACAGGUAGUCAAGAUGAGAAUUCUAAGGUGAGCGAGCGAACUCUCGUUAAGGAACUCGGCAAAAUGACCCCGUAACUUCGGGAGAAGGGGUGCUCUUUAGGGUUAACGCCCAGAAGAGCCGCAGUGAAUAGGCCCAAGCGACUGUUUAUCAAAAACACAGGUCUCUGCUAAACCGUAAGGUGAUGUAUAGGGGCUGACGCCUGCCCGGUGCUGGAAGGUUAAGAGGAGUGGUUAGCUUCUGCGAAGCUACGAAUCGAAGCCCCAGUAAACGGCGGCCGUAACUAUAACGGUCCUAAGGUAGCGAAAUUCCUUGUCGGGUAAGUUCCGACCCGCACGAAAGGCGUAACGAUUUGGGCACUGUCUCAACGAGAGACUCGGUGAAAUCAUAGUACCUGUGAAGAUGCAGGUUACCCGCGACAGGACGGAAAGACCCCGUGGAGCUUUACUGUAGCCUGAUAUUGAAAUUCGGCACAGCUUGUACAGGAUAGGUAGGAGCCUUUGAAACGUGAGCGCUAGCUUACGUGGAGGCGCUGGUGGGAUACUACCCUAGCUGUGUUGGCUUUCUAACCCGCACCACUUAUCGUGGUGGGAGACAGUGUCAGGCGGGCAGUUUGACUGGGGCGGUCGCCUCCUAAAAGGUAACGGAGGCGCUCAAAGGUUCCCUCAGAAUGGUUGGAAAUCAUUCAUAGAGUGUAAAGGCAUAAGGGAGCUUGACUGCGAGACCUACAAGUCGAGCAGGGUCGAAAGACGGACUUAGUGAUCCGGUGGUUCCGCAUGGAAGGGCCAUCGCUCAACGGAUAAAAGCUACCCCGGGGAUAACAGGCUUAUCUCCCCCAAGAGUUCACAUCGACGGGGAGGUUUGGCACCUCGAUGUCGGCUCAUCGCAUCCUGGGGCUGUAGUCGGUCCCAAGGGUUGGGCUGUUCGCCCAUUAAAGCGGUACGCGAGCUGGGUUCAGAACGUCGUGAGACAGUUCGGUCCCUAUCCGUCGUGGGCGUAGGAAAUUUGAGAGGAGCUGUCCUUAGUACGAGAGGACCGGGAUGGACAUACCUCUGGUGUACCAGUUGUCGUGCCAACGGCAUAGCUGGGUAGCUAUGUGUGGACGGGAUAAGUGCUGAAAGCAUCUAAGCAUGAAGCCCCCCUCAAGAUGAGAUUUCCCAACUUCGGUUAUAAGAUCCCUCAAAGAUGAUGAGGUUAAUAGGUUCGAGGUGGAAGCAUGGUGACAUGUGGAGCUGACGAAUACUAAUCGAUCGAAGACUUAAUC